GGGGAUUUAGCUCAGUGGCAUAAGCACCUGCCUUGUAAGCAGGCGGUCAUGAGUUUGAUCCCUG
rfam:Cavia porcellus supercont2_89 genomic scaffold, whole genome shotgun sequence.